AAAUUGCCAAAUAAAAAUGACUCCUUGCAAUUUUAUCUACAUUAUUUGCCUGCAUGCUUUAGAUAACAAAAGUUGAUUAUAAUCUUCUCCUUAAGAAUAAACUAAUAAAAGAAGCACCUUAUUUAUAUUUAUGUGAGUGUGGUAAAUGUUAAAGAAACUUAUCUUACUGAUUAUAGUGUUAGAAUGACUUCUGAAAAACCUAUAAAAUCUACUAUAAUAAUAUUUUGAAAAGCUAUCAAAAACACCAUCUAUGAUUAAAUACGAGCUAUUAUUCCUUUGGACACCAUAAUAUUUAUAUGCCUCUCAUCUGAUGCAUUUAUUACAUAGUUUAACUUUUCAAACAAUGCCUUAAGUGUCCGCCUUCUAGAGAAUCGCUUUCCCUAGAAAAAAAAACCAAACUCCUUUUCAUCUAAAAAAUACUAAGUGAAGAGACUUUCCUUAGAAAACUUCUAUAAGAACAUAAAUUUAUUACCAUCUAAUGCUCAAUUAAAGCCCACAUAAAACCCACUAGAACCACUGAACCCGUCAAUUCUAUUGUACCAACCCUAUAAUAAUGAAUCUUUUAGAAAAAAAAAAAUGAAACCCCAAGUUAACAGAAGUCUCGUGCAAUAACAACAACAACAAUUUUAAUUAAUUCGUCUAAACUCAAAUGUGCAAGUGGUACAAUCAAACAAAAUAACAAAAAAAAAAGUAAAUUUAAACUCCCAUUUAGCUGUCUGUAUAGGGUCGGUUGGUUGGUUGGUUGGUCGGCUGGUUGUUGUGGUGUAACACGAAGAGACACAUCCUACCCACGCUUUUAGCAUGAUCCAACGAAAAUGCAUAAAUUUCCUCAAAAGACCAUCGCAUCAUGGCAAAACGGAAAUAUAAGACACUUUAUUUAAGAGAAGCUCUAUCUUCUAUGUACAAAGUCGCAGUAAAUGUAUGUUGAAUAUAUAAUUCACGUAACAUUUACGAUGGGAAUUCUACAGAUGAUAAUAAUUUGAUAUGCAGACUUAGACAGAAAAAAAUUAAAAGGGCUAAAGGAGUAUAGAGGCACUGUGAAUGAAAAUAGGGUCGUAGCAAAAAAAAAAAAAAAACAACGAGGUAAAUGUAAUAAUAAUCUUAUGCUACAUGUUGGCUUCAGCCAACCUACUAUAUACCAGAUCGAGAUAAGUUCACACGAUAAGCUCAACACACUCUAUAGAACCCCUUCUUGUUGCAUGGAACUGCUCAGCCAUGAAGCAUAGUAAUAUUCUUGGAUUCAAAACGAAAUGUAUACCUUUUUUUCUUCAUCAUCAUGAUUACUGUGAAUAAAGUGUCGGCCACUGAACUACUUCAGAAUCAUCACUCCAGUUACAGAAAAAGAAUCGACAGAAAAUAAAAUCAAAUUGAAAAAACCACAAACAAAUAGCAUACACAGGUGUCAUCUUAAUUUUUCCAUCUUCAUGUCGUAAUUUUUGCUCCCGGGAGGAUCAUGAUUUCAAUCAACUUUUUUUUUUUGUGAUUAUUUUUUUUGCACAGCUUCCAUCAUAAUCUUCCCACACCUAGGAAUAUUAUUUAUUGGAAUCUGGCUUUAGCAAAUCAAUUUUUUUUUCACACCAUUUUCCCAUGACUACGAUGUGGAUUUGCAAAACAGAACCAAACUUGUGGAUUGGUCUCUCUCUCUUUUCCAUGGUUCGCAGAUUUUCCUGAGAAGAUUUCAGCACUAGUAAUUAAUUCUUAGACAACCGAAAAGUUCUUCUUAAUAAUACUCGUAUGUGUGGAUGAAGAUCUUGGACGUUGAGGACCUUUAUUGUCUAGACUAAAUGCAUAAUCAUCUAUAAAUAGAGUUCGUGCCUCAACUCUUUCGUUUUGUGUACAAUGCGUGCAUUUGUAAUGAUUUCACUUUCUCACAUAUCCAAUUUAAUUGUGACCUUAGGACGCGACAUAAUGUGUAUAUGUUAUGUCAAGCGUGUUAAAGUAAUAAAACUCAACAAUUUUAUUGCCCUUGAUAUAGUUUUUUUUUCUUUUACUUUUAAUUUAACUUAAAUAAAAAGAAGAAAACACAAAAAUCGUGCAAUUAUAGUUGAAAAAAAAGUGCUACAGUUUAUAGAUUUCGGGGGCGUGGAUAAAUUGUCAUUAUGUGACGAUGAACUUAAAAAGUAUUUUUAUUUUAUAUUGGGUUGGUUGAGCGACAUUAUAAUGGGUUCGUGGAUAGUUAUUUAUAGGUAGUGAGCUCGAACAAACUGUGGUUAUGAUUUAAUUGGCAGCUUCUUUCAAACAUUUAAUUGUUGCGCAACAGGCAAUAAAACACUUAAGUGACUUUAGAAAUGAACAGUUUUAUUACUUUUUUCUUUUAUUUUUUGUUGUUGAUUUGAGUAUAAUUUUUAAAGUGAAUGACAUUUCUUGGAAACUAUUUUUUUUUUUAAUUAAUAAAACGUGAACGAAGCAUUUAUAUAAAAUUCAAUUAAAACGGAAAGAUGAUGAAUUGCUUAACUGAUGCAAGAUCUUGAAAAAAAAAAAAGAAUACUGAUCGAGCUACAAAAUUAAAUUUUCGUGUUUCAUCUGAGUCUCGGUUACUUCAAAUCUCUUCAAAGAAGCUUACUCUUACAUUUACUCUCUUUUAAAGCUUACUUUUGGGCUUACUUAAAAAAAAAGGCUUCAAUAUUAUUGUGUUUUGAAAAGCUUCAAUUACUGAAAAAAUUAAAAAAAGAUAUUU